CGGACGGGUGAGUAAUGUCUGGGAAACUGCCUGAUGGAGGGGGAUAACUACUGGAAACGGUAGCUAAUACCGCGUAACGUCGCAAGACCAAAGAGGGGGACCUUCGGGCCUCUUGCCAUCGGAUGUGCCCAGAUGGGAUUAGCUAGUAGGUGGGGUAACGGCUCACCUAGGCGACGAUCCCUAGCUGGUCUGAGAGGAUGCCAGCCACACUGGAACUGAGACACGGUCCAG
rnacentral:rRNA from 1 species